rnacentral:rRNA from 1 species
AAUUGCGUCGAUACUGUAGUCUGAGGUAUUGGUCAAAGUAAGGCCGGAAAUGUGUUAAUGUAGCGGGUGAAAUGCUUAGAUAUUACACCAGAACACCCAAUUGCGAAGGCAGCUCACUAAGCUGUUACUGACGCUGAGGCACGAAAGCGUGGGGAGCAAACAGGAUUAGAUACCUGGUAGUCACGCCGGUAACGAUGAUCACUCGUUGUUGGCGAUACACCGUCAGCGACUGAGCGAAAGCAAUAAGUGAUCCACCUGGGGAGUACGGUCGCAAGACUGAAACUCAAAGGAAUUGACGGGGGCCCGCACAAGCGGAGGAACAUGUGGUUUAAUUCGAUGAUACGCGAGGAACCUUACCUGGGCUUAAAUGUAGAGUGCAUUGAGAGGAAACUUUCAUUUUCUUCGGAACUCUUUACAAGGUGCUGCAUGGUUGUCGUCAGCUCGUGCCGUGAGGUGUCGGGUUAAGUCCCAUAACGAGCGCAACCCUUAUCGUUAGUUGCCAGCGGGUAAUGCCGGGAACUCUAGCGAAACUGCCGGUGUAAACCGAGAGGAAGGUGGGGAUGACGUCAAAUCAGCACGGCCCUUAUGUCCAGGGCUACACACGUGUUACAAUGGCCGGUACAGAGGGCAGCUACCUGGAGACAGGAUGCGAAUCUCGAAAGCCGGUCUCAGUUCGGAUCGGAGUCUGCAACCCGA